UUGCAAUAACAGCUGCAGCAGGGCUGCUUAGAUAUUGUAAGAUCAGCUGUUGCAGGGAUGUCUUAGAAAUUGCAAUCCCAGCUGCAGCAGGGCUGCUUAGAAAUGGCAAGAUCAGCUGCAUCAGGGAUGUUUCGAGGAAUUGCAAGAACAGCUGCAUCAGGGAUGCUUAGAAAAGCCGCAAGGUCAGCUGCAUCAGAGAUGAUUAGGAAAGCUGUAAUAUCAUCUGUUUUGCAUUUCCUGUAACCUAGAUGGAACGCACGUUAAGUGGCUCACAUUCUUUUCGUUCGAAACCGUCGUAGAGUGCAGACGCGCAUAUAAUCACGUUCCGUGGGAAAAGUUUUUUUUGGUGCGGGCAAAGGCGGCAAGUGCUGAGUCGAGUUGGUUAUUCAAAAAUUAUAUAAAAAAAAUCCUCUGCGAAACGACGAGUGCGUACGGAAUAAAAGAGCGAAAAGAGACAGCCUAAUUGGAGUUCCGUUGCUGGCUGCUGAACGCCGGCGCAACUAUUUUUUUUUAUUCUUUUCUGUGUUAAUCCCACUGGAAGUUGGCAGGCAGUUCGGUGGCAGCCCACACCAAGUACCUCAGGAGACCUCCAUGCGGAGGCGAGGAGGUUAGGAUCGCCCCGAGUCCCCUUCAGUAAAAUUGUGAGAAAACAAGAUGGCCGCUUCGUUAUUCUAUCUAACCUAAAAGGUGGCAGAAAUCCAAUCUGUUCUGCCGGAAGACGAGCCGUACGCAUGGGCGUAGAAUUCUGAAGUUGCGGAGCCAUGAGAGCCUGAGGCUGUUGAGCCGAAAUCAUCGUUGGAAUAUUUUUGAAAAGUUUAUACCAUUUUUCCUUAUUUUUGCCAAGCUUGCGGCACUUUCCCCUUCAACUGGUAUUCUCUUAACCUCAAUCUGGUCGAAUAAUUAAAAACCAAUUAAAAAUGUCUA